rnacentral:rRNA from 1 species
AGUUCGAUCAUGGCUCAGAUUGAACGCUGGCGGGAUGCUUUACACAUGCAAGUCGAACGGCACGGACUUCGGUCUGGUGGCGAGUGGCGAACGGGUGGUAAGUGUAUCAGAACGUGCCUAGUAGCGGGGGAUAACUACGCGAAAGCGUAGCUAAUACCGCAUACGCCCUUCCAGGAAAGCGGGGGACCUUCGGGCCUCGCACUAUUAGAGCGGCCGAUAUCGGAUUAGUUGGUGGGAGUAACGGCUCACCAAGGCGACGAUCCGUAGCUGGUUUGAGAGGACGACCAGCCACACUGGGACUGAGACACGGCCCAGACUCCUACAGGAGGCAGCAGUGGGGAAUUUUGGACAAUGGGGGAAACCUGAUCGCCAUCCCGCGUGUGCGAUGAAGGCCUUCAGGUUGUGAAGCACUUUUUGGCAGGAAGAAACGGCACGGAUAAUACCCCGUGCAACUGACAGUACCUGCAGAAUAAGCACCGGCUAACUACGUACCAGCAGCCGCGGUAGCCGUAGGGUGCAAGCGUUAAUCGGAAUUACUGGGCGUAAAGCGUGCGCAGGCGGUUCGGAAAAGAAAGAUGUGAAAUCAGAGCUUAACUUUAGACUGCAUUUUUAACUACCGAGCUAGAGAGUGUGUCAGAGGAGGUGGAAUUCCGCGUGUAGCAGUGAAAUGCGUAGAUAUGCGGAGAACACCGAUGGCGAAGAGCAGCCUCCUGGGAUGCUGCUGACGCUCAUGCACGAAAGCAGUAAGGAGCAAACAGGAUUAGAUACCCUGGUAGUCCACGCCCUAAACGAUGUCAACUAGCUGUUGGGGCCUUCGGACGCUAAUUUAUGCAACUAACGCGUGAGAAGUUGACCGCCUGGGAGUACGGUCGCAAGAUUCAAAACUCAAAGGAAUUGACAGGGACCCGCACAAGCGGUGGAUGAUGUGGAUUAAUUCGAUGCAACGCGAAAAAGGCUACCUACCCAUGACAUGUGGAAUCCCGAAGAGAGAUUUGGGGAGUGCUCGCAAGAGAACCGGAACACAGGUGCUGCAUGGCUGUCGUCAGCUCGUGUCGUGAGAUGUUGGGUUAAGUCCCGCAACAGAGCACGGCCUUGUCGUGCUUAGUUGCUACGAAAGGGCACUCCUAUUAAGGACUGCCGGUGACAAACCGGAGGAAGGUGAAGAUGACGUCAAGUCCUCAUGGCCCAUAUGGGUAGGGCUUCGUCCAUACAAUGGUCAGGACAGAGGGUCGCCAACCCGCGAGGAGAGCCAAUCAGCUUGAUCGUAGUCGGAUCGCAGUCUGCAACUCGACUGCGUGAAGUCGGAAUCGCUAUUAAUCGCGGAUCAGCAUGUCGCGGUGAACACGUUCCCGGGUCUUGUACACACCGCCCGUCACACUAUGGGAGUGGGUUUUACCAGAAGUAGUUAGCCUAACCGUAAGGAGGCGAUUACCACGGUAGGAUUCAUGACUGGGGUGAAGUCGUAACAGGUAA